AUCAUCAUCAGCAUCAGCUCCAACUGCAACUCCAAAAUAAACAUCAAACACAAUCAAUUUUUUUUUUAACAAUAAAGAGACCUUUCAUUCACCAACAACCUCAAAAAGCCUUAAUUUUUCCACGAAAUCUUAAUCAUAUGUGCAUACACACAUUAAAAAUUCAGCAAUACUCUACAGACUAGCCUCUGCAAAUUGCAGUAGGAUGAAUUCCUUUGCAGAAACAUAAAGCUGAUAGGAUAUUUGGUUUAACACUGCUCAUCUUAAAAAACAAAUUAACAGCUACAACUAUCACCAACACAAUAAGCAAUUGUUGUAGUGGGCUGGGUACAAAAACUAUUAUCAAGCACACAACAAUACAACAUACACAAGUAUAUCUUACAAGGUAGCAGCACAAAUUCUCCAAUAAGUACAACAUAAAUUGGGAUAAUAAGUCCACUAAACAAUAGCAAUUAGUACAUUACCUUUUCUUUCAACAAGCAAUUUAAUACAAUUACAACAGAAACAGCACCAUAUAAAUUAUUCUAAUAUUAUUAAAUAUCAAGUUCACAUAACAAAAAAAUGUGUCAAUUAUUAAAAGAAUUUGACAAUUAACCAAGAAAUGCUCAGCAUUAUAACUCAAUUAGCCAAUUUAAAAUACAAUAUCUAUCAUCAGAAAGCCACCAUAAUAGCAAAAGCAAGACGAAAAGCCCCAAAUAAUAGAUAGUUUUCUCAUGAACAUGUUGCUAGAAAACUAAAAUAUAUUAAAAUAAAUGACGUCUAUUAAAAUGUACUCUCAACUCAACUCAACCAAGCAUUUAUCCAAAAAAAAUUUAUUGGCAUCGGCUACGAUUAAAAUGUAUUCAUCAAGUAAAAUCUCACUGAUGGGUAGCCUAUAAAUAUAAAAGUUGAAAAUAAAUUCCGUCCUUGAAAUAAAAAUCCAUUGAUGAGGAGGAUAGUGAGAAAUAGAAAGUACUGGAUGCGAGGAUUUCCUUCAAGU
rnacentral:misc_RNA from 1 species